UGCGUAGGCGGGCUAAUAAGUCAGUGGUGAAAUCUUUCGGCUCAACCGAGAAACUGCCAUUGAUACUGUUAGUCUUGAGUUCGGUUGAGGUAGGCGGAAUGUGUAAUGUAGCGGUGAAAUGCUUAGAUAUUACACAGAACACCAAUUGCGUAGGCAGCUUACUAGACCGACACUGACGCUGAGGCACGAAAGCGUGGGGAGCGAACAGGAUUAGAUACCCUGGUAGUCC
rnacentral:rRNA from 1 species